UAUUUUGUUCCUUGCACAAGGAACUCGACUUUAUCAUUUCUUGGCUUAAAAUAUAUUAUUUUCUCUCACUUGCAUCCCAACUGAUUUUAGAGAGAAGCCAACAGAACACAAACACAGUAUAACAGAAGAUGGAGCAAGAUCAUCAACAAGAUGAACAAAAUAUAAAAUUUCUACAACAUAAAAUUUCAUAAUAUGAAUUUUUUUACAUGAAAAAUAAACAUAAGCUUCGUUUUUACAAGAAAAAUAAAGGAAAAAAAUUACAAGCUUGGUUUUGCUUCAAGAAGCUUUGAUCCGGUCGCUUUGCUCUGAUCUAUAAUGGAAAUGAGAUGGUUUCAAUACAAGAGUGAAGGAAACAUAAAAAAAUCAACAUAAACAUACCUUUCAUGUGUGGAAAGAAAGCUCCUUUGCGAGAUUGAAGACCUUACGAGUAUGCAACAGGGGCGGUUGGGGCCGAAUCAUGNNNNNNNNUUGUGGCGGUUGGGGUCAGAGAUGGAGGCUUGACAGAGAAAGAAGAACCGAGAAGUGAGAGGAAGAAGAGAAAGGUGAGGGAGAGAGGAAGAAUAAGCGAGAGGAAGAAGAAGGUCAAGGAAAGAGGAAACAAAACCGAGAGAAGAAGAAGAGAGGAGUGGAAUGGGUGGCGGGCGGGCUAGGGUU
rnacentral:lncRNA from 1 species